AGCUCGCCUCCCGGAUGGAUCAGCAACCGGAGCUUUGGGGUAUGAAGCAGAGGGAGACUCAGUCGCAAGCUCUACAUGCUGGUGUUGGCUUCCCAAGGCCGGUGGCUUGGCCGUGAGGAAGACGUUCAGUUUCGGGAGUCAGAUGUUUAGCUCUUUCCCCGACUGCGGUUGAUCUCCCGGAAGGGGGCGUCAGGGCGCUCGCAGCCUCCCCGGGCCGGAUUCCUUUUCCGGCGCGGGUGCAGGCGAGGCCGCCAGAGGGCAGUGGGUCCUCCGCCUAGGGAAAACAGGUUGAAUGACCGACAGGAAGGACAGGUUGUUAACAUUUUGUUCUUCUAUUCCUAAGAAGCUAAAACUGACUAUGGGCACAGGAAAUACCCAAGGGGAUUUACUGUGCUCUCUCAGCCCUCUCCAGUCUACACUUGUCUUUUGGGAGUGAGCCAGCAUGGAGGAGGAAUAGGCUAAGCUUGGUCAUCCUGGUCUAGCCAUCCUUUAGUCAACUUGAUUCCAGUUGAGACAAGAGCAGCUCAGCAGAGCACAUGCCAACUUGAUGGCCUAAAGAAUUAAAACCACAGACUGAAAAGAAUUGUAUUCGGCUCACAUUUCUGGAGGCUAGAUCGCCCAAGAUGAGGGGGCUGCAUCUGGGGAGGUCCCUGCUGUUGCACUGUGACAUGGGGAACAGCAUCACAUGGUGAGAGGAAGAAAGCAAGAGAGAGCUGAACCUGCCUGUAUUAUCAGGACCACACCCACCAAAACCAUCUCAAUUUUUCAUGACAGCGAGAGUCCUCAUGACCUAAUCCCUGUUGGAGAUUCACUGUUACUUUGAGCAUUGUUUCCAGCACAUGAACCUGCAGGACCCACUCAAACCAUAUCCCUCUCUCUCUUAUCUGGGACUCUGGGUGAGAAUGUUAUGACAAAUACUGACUAAUACACUAUGUACGUUUUGAGAAUUUCAAAUGCAUUCAUUACUCCUUCAAUUUUAACAUGUUCUUAUAUCUUUGGGUAUUAUUAGAUUUAGAUUGAUGAGAAAGGAAGUCAUUUAUAUGUGAUAAGUCUCAGCUCUUAUAUCCUUCCUCUAAACUGGUCUCUCUUUUGGAUUCCAUUCUCCCUGUUAGACUGAACUUCAUGCCCUCUGAUCCUUGAUGUUUCCUAGGUGCACCACUUGUAAUUGAGUUCCUUAGCCUAUUACUAGUUUUCAAAGGAUAACACCAUAGAAUACUCUCAUCUCAUACAUUAUUGACUAUGGACAUUCUUAAUAUGGAUUGAAACUCAGCCUUUAUGAACCACGCCACCCUUUUUAAAUAUGUGCUUAUCCUCUUUGAAUCUCUGUGUACAGAAAUUCCAAACUUAACAGAUCCUACUGAUUAAUUGCCCUUCAUAUCAAGA
ensembl:lncRNA